AGAGUUUGAUCAUGGCUCAGGAUUGAACGCUGGCGGUGUGCCUAACACAUGCAAGUCGAGCGAUCUUCUUCGGAAGAGAGCGGCGGACGGGUGAGUAACGCGUGGGUAACCUGCCUCAUACACAUGGAUAACAUACCGAAAGGUAUGCUAAUACGAGAUGAUAUAAGAGAUUCGCAUGGAUUUCUUAUCAAAGCUUUUGCGGUAUGAGAUGGACCCGCGUCUGAUUAGCUAGUUGGUAAGGUAAUGGCUUACCAAGGCGACGAUCAGUAGCCGACCUGAGAGGGUGAUCGGCCACAUUGGAACUGAGACACGGUCCAAACUCCUACGGGAGGCAGCAGUGGGGAAUAUUGCACAAUGGGCGAAAGCCUGAUGCAGCAACGCCGCGUGAGCGAUGAAGGCCUUCGGGUCGUAAAGCUCUGUCCUCAAGGAAGAUAAUGACGGUACUUGAGGAGGAAGCCCCGGCUAACUACGUG
rnacentral:rRNA from 1 species